rnacentral:rRNA from 1 species
AUUGAAGAGUUUGAUCAUGGCUCAGAUUGAACGCUGGCGGCAGGCCUAACACAUGCAAGUCGAACGGUAACAGGAAGUGCUUGCACUUUGCUGACGAGUGGCGGACGGGUGAGUAAUACUUAGGGAUCUGCCUUCGGGAGGGGGAUAACUAUUGGAAACGAUAGCUAAUACCGCAUAACGUCUACGGACCAAAGGGGGCUUUUAGCUCUCACCUGAAGAGGAACCUAAGCGAGAUUAGCUUGUUGGUGAGGUAAAGGCUCACCAAGGCGACGAUCUCUAGCUGUUCUGAGAGGAAGAUCAGCCACACUGGGACUGAGACACGGCCCAGACUCCUACGGGAGGCAGCAGUGGGGAAUAUUGCACAAUGGGGGCAACCCUGAUGCAGCCAUGCCGCGUGUGUGAAGAAGGCCUUCGGGUUGUAAAGCACUUUCAGUCGUGAGGAAAGGUUAGUAGUUAAUACCUGCUAGCUGUGACGUUAGCGACAGAAGAAGCACCGGCUAACUCCGUGCCAGCAGCCGCGGUAAUACGGAGGGUGCGAGCGUUAAUCGGAAUUACUGGGCGUAAAGCGCACGCAGGCGGAUUGUUAAGCUAGAGGUGAAAGCCCCGCGCUCAACGUGGGAAUUGCCUUUAGAACUGGCAGUCUAGAGUCUUGGAGAGGGGAGUGGAAUUCCAGGUGUAGCGGUGAAAUGCGUAGAGAUCUGGAGGAACAUCAGUGGCGAAGGCGACUCCCUGGCCAAAGACUGACGCUCAUGUGCGAAAGUGUGGGUAGCGAACAGGAUUAGAUACCCUGGUAGUCCACACCGUAAACGCUGUCUACUAGCUGUUUGUGUAUUUUAUACGUGAGUAGCGAAGCUAACGCGCUAAGUAGACCGCCUGGGGAGUACGGCCGCAAGGUUAAAACUCAAAUGAAUUGACGGGGGCCCGCACAAGCGGUGGAGCAUGUGGUUUAAUUCGAUGCAACGCGAAGAACCUUACCUACUCUUGACAUCCAGAAAAUUUGGCAGAGAUGCCUCAGUGCCUUCGGGAAUUCUGAGACAGGUGCUGCAUGGCUGUCGUCAGCUCGUGUCGUGAGAUGUUGGGUUAAGUCCCGCAACGAGCGCAACCCU